GAGCGGCAAUCGUUCUCUGACGGGGGGGCACCUCGGUGCGUGGUAGCUCAGGACCCCGCGCCCCCCACCCAGAGCGGGUCGGGGGAGGCCCAGCAGCAGCCCUAUCCCUGCCACACGUCUCGAGGCACCUCUGGUGGUGGCAGGGCCGAGCACCGACGACGUAGGGGGAGGCCCGAGCGCUGCAUCGCCCCUGAUGUCGGCGGCCAGGCCGUGGAUGGCGUGGUGUCGGAGCGGCCUGCGACAGUGCACACGUCUGAGCCAUGCACAUGAUAGGCAGAGCGUCAGCGUGGCUCAAGCGUAUCUCCCACUCCCCGCCCCCUCACUGCCCACUGGUUGGAGGGGCCUGGGUGUCGCCGCCGAGGGGGACGCGCCAGGUGGCGGCCGGCAUAGUGUGAGCGGCGGUGAGGCGACCCGCGGAGCGGGAGUGCUGGGUGGCGUUUGAGGCCGAGGCGGCCCACUCAGAUGGCUGAGUGGGCGCACUGCUGUAGCGCGUGUCUAGGGCUGCGUCGCGCCAGGCGACGGGCCUUUGGCGGGCCGGGUAGAGCUGAGUUGAGGUCGUGCUCUGUGGCAGCGGCAUGGACCUUUUGAAGCGAAGCGCCAAUGGCCAGCAUUCCUGUUUCGCGCAAUGGGAUCGCUGACAGAUCUGUGCACGACCUUCGUGACAGAGAAGAAAGACGUUUGUGUGUCAUGCGAGCAAGGAUGAGAUGUGUGCUGGCGUGUGCGUAUACAUAGGUGUAGGAGGGGCUUAGGUGAGUCGAAACGUGGCAGCGAACACAAGCACUGACACAAAGGCCUGCACUUCGCUAGACGGAUGCGCGAGUCUUUGUAAUGCCCUUCUCGCUCGCCUUCCGCCCUUGUGCUUUUAUGGCCCCCGUCAAGUCAGAGCGUUUGCUCUCUUUCUUCAUCUUUUGUUUUGACGUGCACGAGCGCCUCCUUUCGUUUUCAUUCACGAGCGUGCUACAGUUCUCUGAGUGUCAUCAAACCCUGAAG
rnacentral:misc_RNA from 1 species